GCGUUUGUGGUUUAGUGGUAAAAUCCAUCGUUGCCAUUGAGCAUUAACUUGUUCAAUCAGAAUCGAUGGGCCCCGGGUUCGAUUCCCGGCGAACGCA
rnacentral:tRNA from 1 species